rnacentral:tRNA from 1 species
UUAAUUGAAACCAAAAAGAGGUAUAUCACUGUUAAUGAUAAAACUGAGCAGAGCUCCGAUUAAA